rnacentral:rRNA from 1 species
GAUGAACGCUGGCGGCGUGCCUAAUACAUGCAAGUCGAGCGAACAGACGAGGAGCUUGCUCCUCUUACGUUAGCGGCGGACGGGUGAGUAACACGUGGAUAACCUACCUAUAAGACUGGGAUAACUUCGGGAAACCGGAGCUAAUACCGGAUAAUAUAUUGAACCGCAUGGUUCAUUAUUGAAAGACGGUUUUGCUGUCACUUAUAGAUGGAUCCGCUCCGCAUUAGCUAGUUGGUAAGGUAACGGCUUACCAAGGCGACGAUGCUUAGCCGACCUGAGAGGGUGAUCGGACACACUGGAACUGAGACACGGUCCAGACUCAUACGGGAGGCAGCAGUAGGGAAUCUUCCGCAAUGGGCGAAAGCCUGACGGAGCAACGCCGCGUGAGUGAUGAAGGUCUGCGGAUCGUAAAACUCUGUUAUUAGGGAAGAACAAAUGUGUAAGUAACUAUGCACGUCUUGACGGUACCUACUCAGAAAGCAACGGCUACCUACGU